CAGGCCUAACACAUGCAAGUCGAACGAAGGCUUCGGCCUUAGUGGCGCACGGGUGCGUAACGCGUGGGAAUCUGCCCCUCGGUUCGGAAUAACAGUUAGAAAUGACUGCUAAUACCGGAUGAUGACGUAAGACCAAAGAUUUAUCGCCUGAGGAUGAGCCCGCGUAGGAUUAGCUAGUUGGUGGGGUAAAGGCCUACCAAGGCGACGAUCCUUAGCUGGUCUGAGAGGAUGAUCAGCCACACUGGGACUGAGACACGGCCCAGACUCCUACGGGAGGCAGCAGUGGGGAAUAUUGGACAAUGGGCGAAAGCCUGAUCCAGCAAUGCCGCGUGAGUGAUGAAGGCCUUAGGGUUGUAAAGCUCUUUUACCCGGGAUGAUAAUGACAGUACCGGGAGAAUAAGCCCCGGCUAACUCCGUGCCAGCAGCCGCGGUAAU
rnacentral:rRNA from 1 species